rnacentral:rRNA from 1 species
ACGGGUGAGUAACGCGCGGGAAUCUACCGUGCCCUGCGGAAUAGCUCCGGGAAACUGGAAUUAAUACCGCAUACGCCCUACGGGGGAAAGAUUUAUCGGGGUAUGAUGAGCCCGCGUUGGAUUAGCUAGUUGGAGGGGUAAAGGCCUACCAAGGCGACGAUCCAUAGCUGGUCUGAGAGGAUGAUCAGCCACAUUGGGACUGAGACACGGCCCAAACUCCUACGGGAGGCAGCAGUGGGGAAUAUUGGACAAUGGGCGCAAGCCUGAUCCAGCCAUGCCGCGUGAGUGAUGAAGGCCUUAGGGUUGUAAAGCUCUUUCACCGGAGAAGAUAAUGACGGUAUCCGGAGAAGAAGCCCCGGCUAACUUCGUGCCAGCAGCCGCGGUAAUACGAAGGGGGCUAGCGUUGUUCGGAAUUACUGGGCGUAAAGCGCACGUAGGCGGAUAUUUAAGUCAGGGGUGAAAUCCCAGAGCUCAACUCUGGAACUGCCUUUGAUACUGGGUAUCUUGAGUAUGGAAGAGGUAAGUGGAAUUCCGAGUGUAGAGGUGAAAUUCGUAGA